UUUGUUGUUCUCUUUUUGGCUUGGGGACAAUCACUCUUGUAGUGUCCCGGCUUUUUGCACUCAUAGCAAAUAACUUGGUCCUUCUUGGGUUCAAGUUUAUUUUUAGUGUCAUUCUUAAUCUUGUUUCUUUUAAUGAAUUUUUUAAAUUUUCUUGUUAGAAGUGCCAAGUCAUCGUCACAGUCCUCAUCACUUGAGUUUUCUUUCAAGUGGUCUUCCAAAGUUCUAAGUGUCAUAUCCUUCCUGUUCUUUGGAAGGAUGUCUUCUUGCUCUUCAUGAGCUUUGCAAGUCAUCUCG
rnacentral:lncRNA from 1 species